UCUAUCUAUAGUAAUGGUUAUUUGCAAUUUUAAUGUAAGUCAACGGUUAUGAAUUCCCUCUUUAAUUUCCGCCAAAUUUUGGACGGCCCGCUAAAAGAGACCCGCUUCUAUUUUAUUUUAUAAUUAAUAAAAUAAUAAAAACUAAUAAUAAUACACACACCAGAGAUUACGAGGAAGACAAACACCUUAUCACAAAAAGUUCCAAUCUCUCUCUCCCAAAAAGCAUUUAUCAGUUCGCCGGAGAUUACAAGGAAGACAAACCACCAUCGGCGGCACAGUAGGUGGAGUAGAUCAAGAAAUGAAUGAUGAAGACAGUGAAGAACUAGACCUUACUUGAGAUGAAUUUUGAAUUGUUAUAGAUGAAUGUUCUAGGAAUAUUUUGUUAUCAACAUUUUUGAAACUUACUCUCUUGAAAUGUACUAAACUUAUGCACUUGGGGUAGAACAUUUGCUUUAAGGAUAUUAUUUGCUUGAUAGAUAAUUUUAUAUUAUUAAUAGUUUCAUUUUAUGAUGUA